UCUAUAAUGAGAUUUGAUGCCCUCUUCUGGCC
rnacentral:piRNA from 1 species